rnacentral:rRNA from 1 species
UACGGGGGGGGCAAGCGUUGUUCGGAAUUACUGGGCGUAAAGGGCUCGUAGGCGGCCAACUAAGUCAGACGUGAAAUCCCUCGGCUUAACCGGGGAACUGCGUCUGAUACUGGUUGGCUUGAAUCCGGGAGAGGGAUGUGGAAUUCCAGGUGUAGCGGUGAAAUGCGUAGAUAUCGGAAGGAACACCGGUGGCGAAAGCGGCGCGCUGGACCUCUUCUGACGCUGAGGCGCGAAAGCCAGGGGAGCAAGCGGG